rnacentral:lncRNA from 1 species
CCAAAGUUAAGCUUGCUCAGACUGGGUUUGGAUCUCUGACAUUGAGGAAAUGCUUUCAUUCAGGGAUGUGGCCAUUGAUUUCUCUGCAGAGGAGUGGGAAUGCCUAGACCUUGCUCAGUGGAAAUUGUACAGGGAUGUGAUGUUGGAGAAUUACAACAACCUUGUAUUCUUGGUUUAAUGGACAACAGAAGAUCUGGUGAUUGUGCUUGGAAGCAUAAGCUGGAAAUGCUGCAGUAUAAGAAAAUACCCUGAUAACAACUAUUCAUCAGUCUCCUGCUUCCUGACUGUGGAUGGAACAUGACUACCUGCUUUAAGCUCCUGUCGCCUUUACUUUCUUACAUGUGUGGUGGUUGGAGUAAGACCCCAAGGGCUCAGAGAUUUGAAUGCUUAGUCAUCAGGCAGGAGCACUUCUUUAAAAGGAUUAAGCAGUGUGGCAUCAUUGGAGUAAGUGUAUCACUGGGGGUUGUAUUUAAGUGUUCAAAAGCUCAAAGCCAGUGUUUCCCUUUUCUUCCUGAUUGUGGAUCAAAAUGUAAAAUUCUCAGCUACUUCAUCAUAUCUGUCUCCACCAUGUUCCCUAGCAUGCUCCCUACAAUAAUGAUAAUGUUCAAAACUUCUGAAACUGUAAACAAGCCCAAUAAAUGCUUUCUUUCUAAUAGUU